CCGAGUUUACAACUCCCCAAACCCAAUGUGAACAUACCUCAAGUUGCUUCGGCGGGGAACGCCCCGGCGCGCCCUCCGACCCCUCCCGCCCGCGGGGGGGGGAUCGGGGAGCCUAGCCCGGACCCAGGCGCCCGCCGGAGGUACCCAAACUCUUGUCUUCAGUAUAUUCUUCUGAGUGGCAAACGCAAAAAUAAAUCA
rnacentral:misc_RNA from 1 species